GUUUCUUUAGCAUUUUACAUCGACCAACUGUAAAAAUGGUAGCCUAUGGCAAUACAAAAUACAACAUUUGAGGUUUAUCAGUACAUGUGUAUUGUGUAGUUCACGAAAAACCUAUUCAAAUACUGCAGACUGAAAAGACUCCAUUGGAAAUUUAUGGUUCGAUCCCAUUGGAGUAAGAAUGGAAUCAUUGUAGAAGGAUUUAAGAAGAUUGAAACUCCCUUGUUGCUUUGGGUCAGUUAGUGGGAAGCGUAUUUUAAUUGAAGCUUCUCCUGAUUAUGGAAUGUCAGUGCUUCAAUUACAAGGAAUAUUUCUUUCUUCAAUUACAGUAUAGUUCUAUUGGCUGUUGUUCAUCACAACUAUAGACUAAAUACAUAUUGAUUUUAAAGGAUCCAGUUUAGAUGUUGGUUUUUGAAAUUAUGAUUUGUAUGAGGCCUUUUGGUUACCUGAUAACCCUGUUCUUAUUUGGUUUCGUGCAUUUCCCCUCAAAAUGUACCUCACGAAACCAUAAGGUAGUUUUAUGGCAAAAAUAAAGUGGGUACAUAAGUCAACUGUUAACAAACCUGUGUUAGUUAUGAAUUUAUUAAUGUAUAUUUUGUUAUUUGCUACGCUAAUUUAUCUUAGAUUUACCCUUGGUAUUUAGUUUUUUAAUGUUUGGUCUUCUGUUUGUUAGAUUUACAAGUACAAGUAUUACCAGUAUGGCCCAUUUACAGCCAUGCCGGUAGUAAUGUUUUCAUUCCUAUUGUUUUGUUAUAUAGUAUUUAUUCACUUGUGAUUUAGUUUUUAAUAAUUGCCAGAGUGCCCAUUUACAGUCACUUUGGCAAUAACAUUGUUGAGUUUGGUUUUUUGUUUAUUUUAUGUGCUACCCUUAUAGUUUAGAUUUUAACUAUUGUUAGAAUUGUCCAUCUACAGUUUACCUAGACAGAAAAUUGUUGAGUUGUUAUAUUAUUAAUAAUGAUUAUAUAAUAUUUUACGGUACUGUUUAAGGUGUCUUUAUUUGGCUAUACUUUAUAGCACGAUUAAAUGACAACGCUACAACAGUAUGCAGUUGUCAUAUGUACAGAGGCCAUUGAUAAUCUCUUGUGUUUUAUGGCCCUUAAAAAACCUGUGUUAAUUACACACAUCCUGCUGGAUGUAGUUUUUUCAGAGGUGGUGUAAAACAUGCAUGACUGCAUGAACGUUUGGCCUCACUGUAAUCAACCAGCAGGGUGGUCACCUGACCGGGGAAACCGGGAUUUUUCCUGAGAACCGGGAACAACAAUAAAUUCCGUCUCCAAGAACUUAAAAUCAAGACAUAAUUAGACAGUUUCUUGAAUCAAGAAUUUAUUCAUCUCGAAACAUCGUAUUAUACGCGACGUGGAUCGUGAAAUUGUGAAUGAAGAUCAACAUAUGUUCGCAAGCUUCAUCUGAGAGUUGAGGAGGUGUCAUGCAAUAUGGAACAUGUCCACCAGAUCCAACUUUUGGGUAAUCAUGAAAAACUGUUUUCUCAAUUAAUAAAACUUAUAUCUCUUUAUUUUAUUUGUAUAGUUGGUUGUUACCCAAAUAGAAAAAAAUACAUUAUGUUUUUUAGAUAGGUAGU
rnacentral:lncRNA from 1 species